UACGGAGGAUGCGAGCGUUAUCCGGAUUUAUUGGGUUUAAAGGGUGCGUAGGCGGGUUAUCAAGUCAGCGGUAAAAUCGUGGAGCUCAACUCCAUCCAGCCGUUGAAACUGAUGAUCUUGAGUGGGCGAGAAGUAUGCGGAAUGCGUGGUGUAGCGGUGAAAUGCAUAGAUAUCACGCAGAACUCCGAUUGCGAAGGCAGCAUACCGGCGCCCGACUGACGCCGAAGCACGAAAGCGUGGGUAUCGAACAGG
rnacentral:rRNA from 1 species